rnacentral:rRNA from 1 species
CACGUAGGGCGCGAGCGUUGUCCGGAAUUAUUGGGCGUAAAGAGCUCGUAGGCGGCCUGUUGCGUCCGCUGUGAAAGCCCGGGGCUUAACCCCCGGGUCGGCAGUGGAUACGGGCAGGCUAGAGGUAGGUAGGGGAGAAUGGAAUUCCCGGUGUAGCGGUGAAAUGCGCAGAUAUCGGGAGGAACACCGGUGGCGAAGGCAAUCCCCUGGGCCUGUACUGACGCUCAUGCACGAAAGCGUGGGGAGCAAACAGG